CUCAAUGGACAUGAGUUUGAGUAAACUCCAGGAGUUGGUGAUGGACAGGGAGACUUGGCGUGCUGCAGUCCAUGGGGUCGCAAAGAAUCGGACACGACCGAGCAACUGAACUGAACUGAGCUAUGUCACACAUUGGGCCCAAAUCAUGGAUACGAUGGCUUCUUGUAAACUUCAGUCCUGACUCCAGUCUGAACCAAGAGACUGCCGUCCUGGAAUGUCCCUCCACUGCCCUGCUGAACCGGAUCAUCUCUUUUUAACUCCCUCAUUUCGCCUGUACUGCACCUUCAAUCAGGACGCUGGACCUGCUGCAUACAGCAGCCAGGAUAUAAAGCUGGACGAGCAGCAAAUGGCAAAGAGGACAACCGGAAGGAGCAGCAGCUAACCUCCUCCUUCACAUGGCAAACAAACUCAGGCGGAAAAGCCACUUGCCCAGGGCGACUCGGCAAGGAAGGGCAGAGCAGAGAUGUGAUUCCCUGCUGACUCCAGAAGCUGCCCUCUCACUCACCCUUCUGCCCCCACUGCCUGGAAGGAAGCUUCGUGAAGCUAUUUCAUCUAAGGAAGAGGGUCAAAAGGGAAAAGAGGCAGCCUGGACGUGAAACAUUCAAACAGGGGACAAGCCACCCAGCUGGUAUGCAGAGAAACAGACCAGUGUUUUCAAUGUUCAGGUCACAACCCAGCAAUGGAGUCAUAUCACUGAAUUUGACAGGAUGCAACCAACAUGUUUUUUAAAAAGAUAAACAGAAUAUAAAAUACUAGUAUACACUGCCUGUAGAAAAAAUAAAUUACUGUUUC